GAACGAAACAUCUUCGUCGUUCUCACGGUUUGCAGUCACUGAUUGAAGUUACUCAAGAUGUUUAAGCAGCUGUGUCAAUGUCGGUUUCAAUAAAUAUACGAGAGUGUGACAUGCACGUCCGUAUAUUAUUGUGAAGUGAAUCAGUAAAAUGUAGUCGUGAAGCUAACAUCAAAUGUUCGGAAUUUUUAACAGACGAUGAUCGUUAAUCAAUAUAACAUGACGGUUACAUGCAGUGAGGAUUCAUUUUGGGUUAAGGUUGAUGGUUAAUA